rnacentral:rRNA from 1 species
AGUGAACGCUGGCGGUAGGCCUAACACAUGCAAGUCGAACGGCCGCACAGUAAGAGCUUGCUCUUACGGGUGGCGAGUGGCGGACGGGUGAGGAAUACAUCGGAAUCUACUUUUUCGUGGGGGAUAACGUAGGGAAACUUACGCUAAUACCGCAUACGACCUACGGGUGAAAGCAGUGGAUCUUCGGACCUUGCGCGAUUGAAUGAGCCGAUGUCGGAUUAGCUAGUUGGCGGGGUAAAGGCCCACCAAGGCGACGAUCCGUAGCUGGUCUGAGAGGAUGAUCAGCCACACUGGAACUGAGACACGGUCCAGACUCCUACGGGAGGCAGCAGUGGGGAAUAUUGGACAAUGGGCGCAAGCCUGAUCCAGCCAUACCGCGUGGGUGAAGAAGGCCUUCGGGUUGUAAAGCCCUUUUGUUGGGAAAGAAAAGCAGCAGGUUAAUACCCCGCUGUUCUGACGGUACCCAAAGAAUAAGCACCGGCUAACUUCGUG